AAAGCUGAAUAGACGAAGAUAAGAUCAAUUACUAGGAUAAUCUUCUGACAUGUAAUUAUUCAAAUAUAUUUCUAAAACUUUUGUUAUCCACUUUGUUGUUAUUGUGCAAAGGAAUUUAUUAGUUUAGCAACUCGUGAAAUUUCACAAAUAGUAUCAAUUCCUAAAUCUCUAAAUAACUGAAAAACGCAUAUUCAUACUCUGAACAUGUUUUAUACAACAUCAAUCUACGUACUCAUACUUAGGUCUAUCAACUCGCAUAAAGCAUAUCUACAAACACUCCAGAAACUGGCGACACAUAUUCGGAAAAAAUGAAGACGACACUGAAACGACCAAGUAGAAAUAAACGAAUCUCAAAAAGCAAUCAGAAGAAGAUACAACGAUAUAACGUUGAAGUAAGUCUCAGUGCACAUCAAUAGUACGCUGCUCAUUGCAGCCACGUAGGCUUGUUAUAACUGAUUUAUGUUUAAUAUAAUUGCGCCAAUAUUCUGAGAACUUGUCAGCUAUACCAAAAAGUGUCGAGUGAUGAAUGAUGCUCGACGCUGCCCGCUACACACAGCCCCCUACCAGCAAGAAGACGAUGACGACUAACCGAGAGAAACAUAUUGAGAAAAGUAGUUAGAGAAGAACAGAGAAAAGUGAGAGAGGACUCAAGAGGAUCGUAAGACCCGUUGAGGCAGAGUUUCAAGCUUCUCGCGUCAAUGUUACAUCGCAUGACGUCGAAGACUUCACGACGUUGAUGGUCGAAUAGUUCGUCAACAAAGAGAAGAUAGCAACUUCUGACCUAAGCUAUAUGGUAGGCUGGCUCGUGCACAACUAGCUGGGCGUAAUCGUAAUAAAUCACGAGCGACGAUAGUCGGUCAGCUUUUCUGCAAACAUUCUUAUCAGAACGGUUGCUUGUACGAGCAGCCAUCUAGAGGCACGAGCAGUUCGGCAGCGUCGCGACUGUCUGUCGACAUCAAAAGCCAGUCUUGAACGGGCCCGACGAGUCCGUCCAGCGCGCGUCAACGAUGAUAAAUUGCUGGCCUAGCUCGAACCUCUGUAUGAUCUACACAGAGGCAUCGGCGCCCCGGCGCCACUCUCGUUUCUGCAACCCCAGGGUCUUGCCUCGAGUGGGAAAUUCAAGAACCAUCGCGUAAUGCUCCGUUUCUUUCACUCGUUUCGCAUACCUGUUCCACGAGAUACGAAUCUCGCGCUGCGAUCGUGAAUCGUUAGCGUUUCCACGAAACCAUCGAAUAAAUUGUCACGGUGAAACCGAGCCGCUGCCUGACUUGAUCUAUCGCUCGUAGAAACUUUUCCAGUAGCUACGUGUGGUACGUUGAAUAGGUUUUUCUCGCGCCACAAUUGACAACACACGCGUCGCCUAGCAUCUACUCUCGCUAGACCUCCUGCAUUCAUGGCCUGUUAAAUUCAACUUUAUGAUCGUCUAUGCGUCACUUCUCGCGCGGUUGGCUAAGCUUUUCUUCGUGUAAACAAACGUGAUGCAAGGGUUCGAGAGUUGAGCAGGCCUCAACAAAGACUACUUUCCUGAACCUCGCGUGUGUCGGUCUCGGUGCAACUCGCGGCGAUGACAUCAGGGGUCACGCGGCUACUUGACCCGCGGCUGUUUUCCAUAAUAUGGUCAAUUAGCGCAUGUCGGGCCAGUGUCGAGUGGACAUUCUGUCUUUCGUACGGGUUUCUAUGGGAAUGAAUUUAUCACGGAAUUGUGUGGUUCUUAAUUUGUUCUUUAUUAGGUCGUGUUUGCUAGUAUACGUACGUUAAUCAUUUUGAUAGUUUAUUACAAGAAGAUUAUUAUUGCUAAGAAUAAAUUGCAUAUAGCCUUUGUUUGCGAUAUUUAUUGAUACUUAUGAGCUAUUUGAAAAACAAACAGAGCGGUAUCUCUUGAAAAUUUUGUAUCUUUUGCAUCAGAAUGCGUGGCUAGUGUUUAGUUUCUCAGAAAUGAAGAAAAUAUACAUGUUCGUAAUUAACGUAUCCAUCAUAGGUGUCACCAACCGUGUGUCUAAUGACUAAUACGUAUACACCAUCGAUUCUUAUCAAAACACUUUUGAGCUGAAAAAAAGAUCUUUACGAACAAAGGACUUUGCCUGUGUACAAAUUUUUAGCAACCUCAUCUAAUUAAAUAUGGAUGUUUUAACUUGAACGAAGUGGAACAGCUCGGCUCCUGUGUCACUUAUACAAUUAAUGUCUUUUUUGACUUCAAACGAGCAUACGAUUUAUAAUGAUAUCUUGUAAGCAAAAUGUUGAAUAUUCCUUAUAUUUGUUCCUUUUCAAUGCAAAUUUGACAUUUCAGUAUAAGAAGAUUUUCAAUUUAUGUCGAAUUGUUUUACAAGCAUUGCAUACUUCGUAUGCAAUUGACAUCCAUGUACAAAUUGCAAUAUGGAAAUGCCUGUAUGUAUUUUCUUCAUAACCAGCUCGUAGGCGUAUGCCGAUAAGGCUAGAAAAUGUUCUUUUUCAACUCAUAUUUAUACAUUAAAAUAAGCUGUAUUUUAACUCUAUUGCAAUCCUCGAAUUUUCAUAUUUCAACCUUGUUACACAAUAAAAAGAAACCUUAUGGUAUUCGAAACACAUAUCCGGACAAAAAUAUAGCCGUUUGUGCAUACUCGUAUCCAUCUCCGCAACCCAUAUCGUGAAGAAUUUUAACACGAACGUGAAUGUAUUGUAAUGUUACAAAUUAAAUCAUGAUAUCAUAUAAACAUGGCGUUACGUGAAGUAUGACAAAACAACAAUCUUAAUCGCAUUAUUUAAUACCGUAACAUGUAUAAAAUUUGUUCGAAAGAAACGAAGAUGUAGAGAAUAUGGAAAAAUAUAUAUU